UACGGGGGGGGCAAGCGUUGUUCGGAAUUACUGGGCGUAAAGGGCUCGUAGGUGGCCAACUAAGUCAGACGUGAAAUCCCCAGGCUUAACCUGGGAACUGCGUCUGAUACUGGAUGGCUUGAAUUCGGGAGAGGGAUGCAGAAUUCCAGGUGUAGCGGUGAAAUGCGUAGAUAUCUGGAGGAACACCGAUGGCGAAGGCAGGUCUCUGGGCCACUACUGACGCUGAGAAGCGAAAGCAUGGGGAGCGAACAGG
rnacentral:rRNA from 1 species